rnacentral:rRNA from 1 species
UCCUACGGGGGGCAGCAGUGGGGGAUAUUGCACAAUGGGGGGAACCCUGAUGCAGCGACGCCGCGUGGGUGAAGAAGCGCCUCGGCGCGUAAAGCCCUGUCAGCAGGGAAGAAAAUGACGGUACCUGAAGAAGAAGCCCCGGCUAACUACGUGCCAGCAGCCGCGGUAAUACGUAGGGGGCAAGCGUUAUCCGGAUUUACUGGGUGUAAAGGGAGCGUAGGCGGUGAUGCAAGUCAGAAGUGAAAGCCCGCAGCUCAACUGCGGGACUGCUUUUGAAACUGUAUGACUAGAUUGCAGGAGAGGUA